rnacentral:rRNA from 1 species
CGGCGGACGGGUGAGUAACGCGUGGGUAACCUGCCUCAUACAGGGGGAUAACAGUUAGAAAUGGCUGCUAAUACCGCAUAAGACCACAGUACUGCAUGGUACGGUGGUAAAAACUCCGGUGGUAUGAGAUGGACCCGCGUCUGAUUAGGUAGUUGGUGAGGUAACGGCCCACCAAGCCGACGAUCAGUAGCCGACCUGAGAGGGUGACCGGCCACAUUGGGACUGAGACACGGCCCAG